CUUCUGCUCCCCAUGAGCUGUAUCUGCUUGGCUGAGCUGAUUUCCUGUCUGUGCCAGCACUGCCUGGCUCUUCUCUAGGAGUGCUGAGGAAGAUCUGUGCUAGUAGAAUCAAAUUGGUGUGUUUAUUUCUCUGUCUCCCUCUGUUAAAAGCAAGAAAUUAAAUGAGCCUGAUCAUACCUGAGAUUCUGGAUGCCUAAAAUUUCACUGAAAAUGUUGAAAGAAAGGGGACUGUUAAACAACUUCACUUCUCAACAUUUGUAUUGCCUGAGAUAUGAUGACAGCUGUGAAGUUGAUCCAUGGGUAAAGGUCUAUCCCAUUCUUCAUGAGCCCACUGAGGUUGGCUGGACAUGUGCUCUCAGUGCUUGUUUUCCCAGUACUCCUUUUGAAGGUGAGCACCAACAUCAGUGACAAGAACUGUCAGUUCCACUCCUCAAGCUUCUUGGCCUUUAUUGUGUCUCAGACAGUAGAAACUAUGCUGGUGUAUGGGACAUCUGGGGCUUACGUCAUAUUGUAUCAACACUGACAACUUAUUAUUUGUUUCCAACCUUACAGAGUUGUUGGAGUCUUUUUUAAGGGUAUUUCCCUGCUGCAUGAGUUGAUCUCUAGUUUACUCAUAUUUUGUGGGUAGGGGAAAGAUGUCAGUAUUUCCAUUAGUUAAAGUUGUGUUCAGCAUUAAGAGUUUGUAAUUACCACAGAAAAGUAAGCAGUAUUGUUGAGGAAAAGGAAAAAUCACAUCUCUCAGAUCCUCUGUUUUUUAUCUAGUUGUCAAAAGCCCCAACAUAAAAGCUGAGGUUUUAUUUUUAUACAUACACAAAAAUGGUAAAUACCCCAGAAAGCUAAUAAGCCAUGAAGUUUAGGAUUCAUUCAGUGCUGUGAUAGAAUAACCAAAACAACAACUAGUCAGAGCUCUCUUGAGAGCGGGGAGGAGCUUGAAAGUUCAUUGUUUGAUAGUCUCAGAAGAUCUCAAAUCAUUUUCUAAAUUAUCACAGUAUUAGAUCAUUAUCCAUGUCAUACUCUAAAAUGUGGGGCAUGACUUCUACCUCCAUCCUAGAGAAGACAAUUCUAUCUCUUUGUAAAUCUCUUCAGAUUCAGAAAUAAGUUAAAAAAAAAUAGAAAAAAAAGUAAAAAAAUAUGGGAGCCGACUGACUAGAAGGGCCACAUUCUUGGAAACAAGUUGGCUGGGCUGGUUAGCAGGGCUUUAAACUAGAUAUGAUGGGGGGAGGGGGUGUACUGUGUGACAGAGAAGCGUGUGGGAAUGCUGUCACCCUGGGAGGUGGUAAGGGAAAACCCCAGACUUGUCCUGGAGGUAUUAGGGAGGGCUCCACUGGUAAGGCAACGAGGCCAAUAGCCAAGCUGAAGUGUCUCUAUACCAAUGCACACAGCAUUGGAAAUAAUCAGGAGGAGCUAGAGACCGUGGCACAAUUGGGAAAGUAUGACCUAAUUGCUAUCACGGAAACAUAGUGGGAUGAAUCCCGUGAUUGGAAUACCCUGAUUGAGGACUACAGGCUUUUCAGAAGGGAUAGACAGGGUAGGAGGGGUGGCGGAGUUGCCCUCUAUAUUAGGAAUUGGAUAGAUUGUGAAGAGCUGUGUCUGAGGAACAGCCACAAUCAGGUCGAGAGUUUGUGGGUAAAAAUCAAGGAUCGGUCCAGCAAAGGGCAUCUAGUGGCUGGGGUCUGCUACAGGACAUCUGAUCAGGAGGAGGCUGUGGACGCGGCCUGCUUGCUUCAGCUGCAGGAGGUGUUGCGCUUGAGGGCUCUUGUCCUGAUGAGGGAUUUCAACCACCCGGAUAUCUUCUGGGAUAGUGGCAUGGCGGGUGGCAGACAAUCCAGGAGAUUCCUGGAGUCUGUCAAGGACAACUUCCUGAUCCAGGUAAUAGAUGGACCGACCCGAGGUGAAGCCUUACUGGAACUGGUGCACACUAAUGCAGAGGAGAGCAUUAGAGACGUUAAGAUUGGAGGCAGCAUGGGCUGUAGUGACCAUGCCUUGAUGGACUUUGUGAUCUUGAAGAAUGCAGGCCUGGCUAAAAGCAGAGCUUGGACUCUGUGCUUUAGGAGAGCAAACUUCCUGCUGCUCAAGGAACUGCUGAGUGGGAUCCCCUGGGAAACUGUCCUUAAGGGCAUGGGUACAGAACAGAGCUGGUAGCUCUUUAAGGACACCCUUCUGAGAGUGCAACGGCUCUCUAUCCCCCAGCAGAAGUCAAGUAGGGGAGGCAGGCAACCAUCGUGGCUGUGCAAGGACCUGCAGCUUAAACUGAGAGAAAAGGGGGGAAUUUAUAGAAGGUGGAAGCAGGUUGUGUAUCCUGGGAGGAAUACAGCGCUGUUGCCCAUGUGUGCAGAGAUAGGAUUAGGAAAGCCAAGGCGCAGAUGGAGAUGAACUUGGUGAGGGAUGUGAAAGAUAACAAGAAGAGGUUCUACAGGUUCUACAGGCAGGAGGAGACGGACCAAGUGUUCCCCCUCUGAUGAAAGGCAAUGGGGAGCUGGCUUCCUCAGACAUAGAAAAAGCUGAGGUAUUUAAUGAGUGCAUUGCCUCAGUCUUCACGGGUGGUCAGGCUUCCCGUGUCUGCCAGGACCACAAGCCUGUAGGUGAGGGUGUGGGGAGUGGUUUCUGUCCCACUGUAAUGGUGGAACAAGUCCGAGUCCUCCUCAUGACAUUGAAUGUGUGUAAGUCCAUGGGGCUGGAUGAUAUCCAUCCUAGGGUUCUGAAAGAGAUGGCUGAUGUUGUUGCUGAGCCACUCUCCAUCAUAUUUGAAAAAUCAUGGCUGUCUGGUGAAGUUCCCACUGACUGGAAAAAGGGAAACAUUACUCCCAGUUUUAAGAAAGGGAGAAAGGAGGAUCUGGGGAACUACAGGCCAGUGAGCCUCACCUCUGUGCCUGGGAAGAUCAUGGAGCAGAUCCUCCUAGAAGCUGUUAAGGCACAUAUUGGAUGAAGAGGUGAUCUGAGACAGGCAGCAUGGCUUCACCAAGGGCAGAUUGUGCCUGACCAAUCUGGUGGCCUUCUACAAUGGAGUGAUGGCUUCGGUGGCUGGGAGAAGGGCAGUGGAUGUCAUCUACCUGGACUUCUGCAAGGCCUUUGACAUGGUCCCUCACCACAUCCUUCCAGGUUUAGGUUGGAUAUUAGGAAGUUUUUCACACAGAAUGUUUCACACAGUGUGUGGUGACACACUGGAACAGGUUGCCCAAGGAGGCUGUGGAUUCCCCAUCCCUGGAGGUAUUCAAGGCCAGGCCGGAUGUGGCGCUGGGCAGCCUGGUCUAGUGGUUGGCGACCCUGCACAUAGCGGGGGGGUUGAAACUAGAUGAUCAUUGUGGUCCUUUUCAACUGUCAUGGUUUUGUAACUUCGCUAUUGGUAUUCCACAUCAUAACAUCAUGGACAAAAGAGAAGAACUACGUAUCCCAGAGGACCUCACGGUCAGAGAAGGAAGACACAUCACGGAAGAUACGUCAUCUGGUUGCGCGCGGUGCUUCUUCACUUUCGCUUGCUGCCGGGAGAGGAGUGGGUGUGCUUUCCAAGCCGGGCGCCUUCAUCAAGUAAGGCUUUCGGUUUCGGAAACUCUCUCACUCUCUCUCUCUCUCCCUCUCUAUCGCUCUUUCGCUCUCUCUCCCUCAUUCCAUUUGGUUUAUUAUAC
rnacentral:lncRNA from 1 species